rnacentral:rRNA from 1 species
UUAAGCGACUAAGCGUACACGGUGGAUGCCCUGGCAGUCAGAGGCGAUGAAGGACGUGCUAAUCUGCGAUAAGCGUCGGUGAGGUGAUAUGAACCGUUAUAACCGGCGAUUUCCGAAUGGGGAAACCCAGUGUGUUUCGACACACUAUCAUUAACUGAAUCCAUAGGUUAAUGAGGCGAACCGGGGGAACUGAAACAUCUAAGUACCCCGAGGAAAAGAAAUCAACCGAGAUUCCCCCAGUAGCGGCGAGCGAACGGGGAGGAGCCCAGAGCCUGAAUCAGUGUGUGUGUUAGUGGAAGCGUCUGGAAAGGCGCGCGAUACAGGGUGACAGCCCCGUACACAAAAAUGCACAUAUUGUGAGCUCGAUGAGUAGGGCGGGACACGUGGUAUCCUGUCUGAAUAUGGGGGGACCAUCCUCCAAGGCUAAAUACUCCUGACUGACCGAUAGUGAACCAGUACCGUGAGGGAAAGGCGAAAAGAACCCCGGCGAGGGGAGUGAAAAAGAACCUGAAACCGUGUACGUACAAGCAGUGGGAGCCUCUUAAUGGGGUGACUGCGUACCUUUUGUAUAAUGGGUCAGCGACUUAUAUUCUGUAGCAAGGUUAACCGAAUAGGGGAGCCGAAGGGAAACCGAGUCUUAACUGGGCGUUAAGUUGCAGGGUAUAGACCCGAAACCCGGUGAUCUAGCCAUGGGCAGGUUGAAGGUUGGGUAACACUAACUGGAGGACCGAACCGACUAAUGUUGAAAAAUUAGCGGAUGACUUGUGGCUGGGGGUGAAAGGCCAAUCAAACCGGGAGAUAGCUGGUUCUCCCCGAAAGCUAUUUAGGUAGCGCCUCGUGAAUUCAUCUCCGGGGGUAGAGCACUGUUUCGGCAAGGGGGUCAUCCCGACUUACCAACCCGAUGCAAACUGCGAAUACCGGAGAAUGUUAUCACGGGAGACACACGGCGGGUGCUAACGUCCGUCGUGAAGAGGGAAACAACCCAGACCGCCAGCUAAGGUCCCAAAGUCAUGGUUAAGUGGGAAACGAUGUGGGAAGGCCCAGACAGCCAGGAUGUUGGCUUAGAAGCAGCCAUCAUUUAAAGAAAGCGUAAUAGCUCACUGGUCGAGUCGGCCUGCGCGGAAGAUGUAACGGGGCUAAACCAUGCACCGAAGCUGCGGCAGCGACACUAUGUGUUGUUGGGUAGGGGAGCGUUCUGUAAGCCUGUGAAGGUGUACUGUGAGGUAUGCUGGAGGUAUCAGAAGUGCGAAUGCUGACAUAAGUAACGAUAAAGCGGGUGAAAAGCCCGCUCGCCGGAAGACCAAGGGUUCCUGUCCAACGUUAAUCGGGGCAGGGUGAGUCGACCCCUAAGGCGAGGCCGAAAGGCGUAGUCGAUGGGAAACAGGUUAAUAUUCCUGUACUUGGUGUUACUGCGAAGGGGGGACGGAGAAGGCUAUGUUGGCCGGGCGACGGUUGUCCCGGUUUAAGCGUGUAGGCUGGUUUUCCAGGCAAAUCCGGAAAAUCAAGGCUGAGGCGUGAUGACGAGGCACUACGGUGCUGAAGCGACAAAUGCCCUGCUUCCAGGAAAAGCCUCUAAGCAUCAGGUAACAUCAAAUCGUACCCCAAACCGACACAGGUGGUCAGGUAGAGAAUACCAAGGCGCUUGAGAGAACUCGGGUGAAGGAACUAGGCAAAAUGGUGCCGUAACUUCGGGAGAAGGCACGCUGAUAUGUAGGUGAAGCGACUUGCUCGUGGAGCUGAAAUCAGUCGAAGAUACCAGCUGGCUGCAACUGUUUAUUAAAAACACAGCACUGUGCAAACACGAAAGUGGACGUAUACGGUGUGACGCCUGCCCGGUGCCGGAAGGUUAAUUGAUGGGGUUAGCGGUAACGCGAAGCUCUUGAUCGAAGCCCCGGUAAACGGCGGCCGUAACUAUAACGGUCCUAAGGUAGCGAAAUUCCUUGUCGGGUAAGUUCCGACCUGCACGAAUGGCGUAAUGAUGGCCAGGCUGUCUCCACCCGAGACUCAGUGAAAUUGAACUCGCUGUGAAGAUGCAGUGUACCCGCGGCAAGACGGAAAGACCCCGUGAACCUUUACUAUAGCUUGACACUGAACAUUGAGCCUUGAUGUGUAGGAUAGGUGGGAGGCUUUGAAGUGUGGACGCCAGUCUGCAUGGAGCCGACCUUGAAAUACCACCCUUUAAUGUUUGAUGUUCUAACGUGGGCCCCUUACCGGGGUUGCGGACAGUGUCUGGUGGGUAGUUUGACUGGGGCGGUCUCCUCCUAAAGAGUAACGGAGGAGCACGAAGGUUGGCUAAUCCUGGUCGGACAUCAGGAGGUUAGUGCAAUGGCAUAAGCCAGCUUGACUGCGAGCGUGACGGCGCGAGCAGGUGCGAAAGCAGGUCAUAGUGAUCCGGUGGUUCUGAAUGGAAGGGCCAUCGCUCAACGGAUAAAAGGUACUCCGGGGAUAACAGGCUGAUACCGCCCAAGAGUUCAUAUCGACGGCGGUGUUUGGCACCUCGAUGUCGGCUCAUCACAUCCUGGGGCUGAAGUAGGUCCCAAGGGUAUGGCUGUUCGCCAUUUAAAGUGGUACGCGAGCUGGGUUUAGAACGUCGUGAGACAGUUCGGUCCCUAUCUGCCGUGGGCGCUGGAGAACUGAGGGGGCUGCUCCUAGUACGAGAGGACCGGAGUGGACGCAUCACUGGUGUUCGGGUUGUCAUGCCAAUGGCACUGCCCGGUAGCUAAAUGCGGAAGAGAUAAGUGCUGAAAGCAUCUAAGCACGAAACUUGCCCCGAGAUGAGUUCUCCCUGACUCCUUGAGAGUCCUGAAGGAACGUUGAAGACGACGACGUUGAUAGGCCGGGUGUGUAAGCGCAGCGAUGCGUUGAGCUAACCGGUACUAAUGAACCGUGAGGCUUAACCU